GAUGAACGCUGGCGGCGUGCCUAAUACAUGCAAGUCGAGCGAACGGACGAGAAGCUUGCUUCUCUGAUGUUAGCGGCGGACGGGUGAGUAACACGUGGAUAACCUACCUAUAAGACUGGGAUAACUUCGGGAAACCGGAGCUAAUACCGGAUAAUAUUUUGAACCGCAUGGUUCAAAAGUGAAAGACGGUCUUGCUGUCACUUAUAGAUGGAUCCGCGCUGCAUUAGCUAGUUGGUAAGGUAACGGCUUACCAAGGCAACGAUGCAUAGCCGACCUGAGAGGGUGAUCGGCCACACUGGAACUGAGACACGGUCCAGACUCCUACGGGAGGCAGCAGUAGGGAAUCUUCCGCAAUGGGCGAAAGCCUGACGGAGCAACGCCGCGUGAGUGAUGAAGGUCUUCGGAUCGUAAAACUCUGUUAUUAGGGAAGAACAUAUGUGUAAGUAACUGUGCACAUCUUGACGGUACCUAAUCAGAAAGCCACGGCUAACUACGUGCCAGCAGCCGCGGUAAUACGUAGGUGGCAAGCGUUAUCCGGAAUUAUUGGGCGUAAAGCGCGCGUAGGCGGUUUUUUAAGUCUGAUGUGAAAGCCCACGGCUCAACCGUGGAGGGUCAUUGGAAACUGGAAAACUUGAGUGCAGAAGAGGAAAGUGGAAUUCCAUGUGUAGCGGUGAAAUGCGCAGAGAUAUGGAGGAACACCAGUGGCGAAGGCGACUUUCUGGUCUGUAACUGACGCUGAUGUGCGAAAGCGUGGGGAUCAAACAGGAUUAGAUACCCUGGUAGUCCACGCCGUAAACGAUGAGUGCUAAGUGUUAGGGGGUUUCCGCCCCUUAGUGCUGCAGCUAACGCAUUAAGCACUCCGCCUGGGGAGUACGACCGCAAGGUUGAAACUCAAAGGAAUUGACGGGGACCCGCACAAGCGGUGGAGCAUGUGGUUUAAUUCGAAGCAACGCGAAGAACCUUACCAAAUCUUGACAUCCUUUGACAACUCUAGAGAUAGAGCCUUCCCCUUCGGGGGACAAAGUGACAGGUGGUGCAUGGUUGUCGUCAGCUCGUGUCGUGAGAUGUUGGGUUAAGUCCCGCAACGAGCGCAACCCUUAAGCUUAGUUGCCAUCAUUAAGUUGGGCACUCUAAGUUGACUGCCGGUGACAAACCGGAGGAAGGUGGGGAUGACGUCAAAUCAUCAUGCCCCUUAUGAUUUGGGCUACACACGUGCUACAAUGGACAAUACAAAGGGCAGCGAAACCGCGAGGUCAAGCAAAUCCCAUAAAGUUGUUCUCAGUUCGGAUUGUAGUCUGCAACUCGACUACAUGAAGCUGGAAUCGCUAGUAAUCGUAGAUCAGCAUGCUACGGUGAAUACGUUCCAGGGUCU
rnacentral:rRNA from 1 species